GGAAAUUGCUUAGAAAAAGAGCAAUCUAAACAGUGGAGGGCUCACAACUACCUCGGUUAUAGAAAGAUCUUGGUGGCUAGCAAUACUCAACCUGGAGAAGAAAAGGCUCACUACUCAGCUGUCUUAAUAUAUUUGAAGAGCUGUGCUGGAGGAAGUGAAAGUAGCCAGGGAAAGUAGAGCUCAUAAGAGAUCGUCUACAAGAUUCUUUGACACACUGUUUCCAUGAUGUAUUCCUCAGGACUUCAAGGAAGUGGAGCAUUUGAGAAGACUGGUGAGAUGAGCCUGAGACUGAAAUAUUUGAUUCUGCAAGUUGGUGAACAGCAGCUUCUGGAGUGAGCCUCUCAAGUCUCUGCCGACCAAUGGAGACCACGCUAGAUGCUGUCUGCAGUUGGGGUGAGAAGAAAGCAGAGGCAGCAGGUGUGGUCCAGCAGGAAGAAAAGGGGUUCGCAAACAUCUCUAUUGUCUUCUCACAAACCCAGAAGCACCAGCCAAAACACUGACCAAGCCCUUUCCCACUUAAAAGAACCAAUCGAUCUUCAUGCUCAGGGUCCCAAGCCAUCAACUUCGACCCUAUCAAAGUCUUCCUGUCUGUGGAAUUUUAGCAAAACUUUUCUCCCAGAGACAAGUGAUAUAGCAUUGCUUGUGAAGACCUCUGACAAAUACAAAGUAAGUGGGGUGUUAUUUUUGCUCUUAUUUUAUAUUUAAGGCCACUUGAGACAAAGAG
rnacentral:lncRNA from 1 species